GGAAUAUGACUGACACGAAUUUAAGGAUAAGACUACAGGAAAGUCUUGAUAUCAUGAAUGAGAGCCUCUAGUUCCCAAGGGAUAGGAGCUAGAGGAGAUAACACCAAUUGGCAAAGCUGUAGGGAAUCAGUCUCAAUUUGGCAUGAAAAAAAAGAUCUAUUGAUGGCAAACAAAAUAGUUGCUUUCAAAGCUGAACCUUCUGCUGAGAGAGGAGAAAGACUGAUAAACGAAGCUGCACAGCCAUCAACAACUAUACCUGCUGAAUUUCUCACUACAACACCAUAACCAGCAGCUGAAGAAACAUAAUCAAAAGAGGCAUCAACAUUAAUUU
rnacentral:misc_RNA from 1 species